rnacentral:rRNA from 1 species
GGUUAGGGGACAGACAAAAUAAAGCCAAAGACCUCCUAAGCCGUCAUACGCUCACGGAAGCACGAAGCCCAAACACGAAAGUAGCUUUACUAAAUAUGCCCGACUCCACGAAAGCUGAGAAACAAACUGGGAUUAGAUACCCCACUAUG